UCUAGCUGUACUAUAUUAAUGUCUUUGUUUAUAAUUAUUAGUAAAUAUCUCACUUGCUGAAUAAUAGCGCUUGAAAAAAAAUAACAAUUUUUUUCCCCUUAGUUGGUGCUUCCCGUGCUGCUGUUGAUGCUGGCUUUGUUCCCAAUGACAUGCAAGUUGGUCAGACAGGAAAAAUAGUGGCCCCAUGGUCUACAUUACUGCACCUGAUGGCUUUUCACUGUCUAUUUGUCAGUCUCUGCUGGCUGCGCUUGUCUCAGCUGCUGCCUCUGAUGCUCGGCAGUGAUGUCAUGCUGUUGACUGUCAUUUUUGGUUCCCUCUCCCUGAGUUUAUAACCAGCCUUCUUCUGAGCUAAUCCGAGACUUCCCUGCUGUGUCUCGAUCUGAGGGCAGUGCUGUGGGAGAGCAGGUGAGAGGCUCCUCUUUAGUUUGUUCUGUGAUUCAGGGCCGUAUGUAGCUGUGUUGAGGUUUUAGUAUUAAAAUUAGUCGCCUGUUUCCUUUAGCUUAAUUGACUACUAAAACAUUUCAAUUCAGUAUGUUGCUUACACCCUGGCGAUGUUUAUGCUGAGUAUCUCUGACUUAGACUGCUAUGUGAAGCUAAAAUCGCAGUGUGCAAACGGGAGCAGCUUUCCCCUGAGCCUCUCAAGCAGCUUCCUGGGAGAAUUCCAGAUCUCCUGCACAAGUUUUGGGUAGUGCAGGAGUGGUAUCAGUGCACACUUUCUGAAGAAAGGAGCCAAAUCCUGGCCAUCUUCAGAGAGGGCUCCAACCCUGCUGAGCCCUCCCUCCGGUUGGUUAGAUUUCUGUAAAAGUUGUAAGAUUCAUCCCGGUAGUCCUUACGUUUCUCAGACUACAGUUUUGUCCUCAUGUUAGAACCAUUAAAAAGCCUGCCUUGUCUGAAGGACUGAGGAACAAAGGGAUAGAAUGCAAAAGUAGGCUCCUGUUUCCCAGAGGAUAAAGAUAACCAUCUCUGCUGGGCACGGUGGCUUACACCUGUAAUUCCAGCUAGUUGGGAAGCAGAGAUCAGGAGGAUUGCAGUUCCAGGCCAGAUCAGGCAAAAAGUUACUGAGACCCCCAUCUUAACCAACAAGGCAGGUAUGGUGGUUCAGAUCUUUAAUCUUGGCUAGCUGUGUAUGUGUGGGGGUGGGCACAGAUAGGAUGAUUGCAGUCCAAGGCCAGUCCUGGGUGAAAAAUGACUGAAGCAAAAGGGCUGGAGGCAUGUAGUAACAGGUACAAGGCCCUGAGUUUAAACUCCAGUACCUCUAAAAAAGAGAAAAGAUACUACCCCUGAGCUGCUUCCUGCCACCAAAGCCCUUUUCACCUCCUGGUGGCAGGUAUA
rnacentral:lncRNA from 1 species